rnacentral:snRNA from 14 species
AUACUUAACCUGGCAGGAAAAUACCAUAAUCACAAAGGUGAUUUUCCCAGGGAGCAGCGCCUGAUGACUAUAAGGAUGAAUACAGAUCUAAGGAACUUGACUGACCCAUUGGUGGUAGUGGGAGACUGAAUUAGUGCUUUCCCUGU